rnacentral:rRNA from 1 species
AUUGAACGCUGGCGGCAUGCCUUACACAUGCAAGUCGAACGGUAACGGGCUUUCGGGUUCCGACGAGUGGCGGACGGGUGAGUAAUACAUCGGAACGUGCCCGAACCUGGGGGAUAACGAGGCGAAAGCUUUGCUAAUACAGCAUACGAUCUACGGAUGAAAGCAGGGGACCGCAAGGCCUUGCGCGGACGUGGCGGCCGAUGUCAGAUUAGGUAGUUGGUGGGGUAAAGGCGUACCAAGGCGACGAUCUGUAGCUGGUCUGAGAGGAUGAUCAGCCACACUGGAACUGAGACACGGCCCAGACUCCUACGGGAGGCAGCAGUGGGGAAUUUUGGACAAAGGGCGCAAGCCUGAUCCAGCCAUGCCGCGUGCAGGAUGAAGGCCUUCGGGUUGUAAACUGCUUUUGUACGGAACGAAAAGCCUUCUUUUAAUACAGGAGGGUCAUGACGGUACCGUAAGAAUAAGCACCGGCUAACUACGUG